rnacentral:rRNA from 1 species
GACGAACGCUGGCGGCGUGCCUAAUACAUGCAAGUAGAACGCACAGUUUAUACCGUAGCUUGCUACACCAUAAACUGUGAGUUGCGAACGGGUGAGUAACGCGUAGGUAACCUGCCUGGUAGCGGGGGAUAACUAUUGGAAACGAUAGCUAAUACCGCAUAAUAUUGAUUAUUGCAUGAUAAUUGAUUGAAAGAUGCUAUUGCAUCACUACCAGAUGGACCUGCGUUGUAUUAGCUAGUAGGUGAGGUAACGGCUCACCUAGGCGACGAUACAUAGCCGACCUGAGAGGGUGAUCGGCCACACUGGGACUGAGACACGGCCCAGACUCCUACGGGAGGCAGCAGUAGGGAAUCUUCGGCAAUGGACGAAAGUCUGACCGAGCAACGCCGCGUGAGUGAAGAAGGGUUUCGGAUCGUAAAGCUCUGUUGUAAGAGAAGAACGGGUGUGAGAGUGGAAAGCUCACACUGUGACGGUAUCUUACCAGAAAGGGACGGCUAACUACGUG